rfam:Hordeum vulgare subsp. vulgare, WGS project CAJW01000000 data, contig: morex_contig_49961
CUCAUACUCCCUCCAUCCCAAAAUUCUUGUCUUAGCUUUGUCUAGAAAUGAAUGUACCUAAAUACUAAAACUUGACUAGAUACAUUCGUAUCUAAACAAAUCUAAGACAANNNUUUUGGGACGGAGGGAGUAGUUA